GUGCUCACUUCAGCAGCACAUAUGCUAGAAUUGGAAUGAUGCUGAGAUUAGCAUGGCCCCUGAGCAAAGGUGAUACGUGAAUUCAUGAAGUGUUCCAUAUAUCU
rfam:Gorilla gorilla gorilla genomic chromosome, chr17, whole genome shotgun sequence